rnacentral:rRNA from 1 species
UACGUAGGGUGCGAGCGUUAAUCGGAAUUACUGGGCGUAAAGCGUGCGCAGGCGGUUUUGCAAGCCCGGUGUGAAAUCCCCGGGCUCAACCUGGGAAUGGCAUUUGGGACUGCAAGGCUCGAGUGCGGCAGAGGAGACUGGAAUUCCUGGUGUAGCAGUGGAAUGCGCAGAUAUCAGGAGGAACACCAAUGGCGAAGGCAGAUCUCUGGGCCGUAACUGACGCUGAGGAGCGAAAGCAUGGGGAGCGAACAGG